GGAACAGACCAGAUCAAGCAUGCCUGCUAUAUGUAUCUCGGUAUGAUACAGCUGUAGGAUCUUAAUUUGAUCACUUUUUUGUUGCUGAGAAGUUUAUUGCAUUGUGGGAAACACAGAUAAGCUUUGUGAUUUACAUAUAUUCACCAAACUCCUGCACUGAAAUGUGGUUAUAUUAAUAGUAUUGCACUUAUCAUGCAGCCUUAUUUUGUCCAGCUAAUAGACUCACCACCAAUGGAUCAACAUUACGGAGGAAACGUUCAAGUCCUUUUGCUGCAGGAUUAUUUCACUGCAACAAUACUGGAUAAAUUAAGAUCUUACAUCUGUACAUCUACAGUAUAUGUAUAAUUUGUAAUAUUAGACAAUGUGCAAAAUGUUUCCUCUUUUUGGAACAGAUGGCUAUAAUGUGUGUUUUAUUUACAGGGCAAGAAGAGCCUGUUAACCCAAAGGUUUUUGAGAUUGUAGGAAAAACCUUGGGGUUGAUUUUCCUCUUCAGCCUGAUCGUAUUCUUUGCAUGGAGGAGAACAUCUAGACUCCCCAGUGGGUUUGACAUGACAGACCAUUCACAGGGACUGGUGGGAAUGGUAGAAUAAACCUUUAAAACCCAUCUAGAAUAACUCCCCGGUUGGGACAGUGUGCUCUAACCAGGCCACGGUCAGUAGAGGGAACCAGGAACCACCACUUAACAACCUCGAUGGUCUUUAAGCACAAGUCAAAAGAGGUGCUUGUUAAUUAUUUUUCCAAUGGGUAUUAAGUGUUUUUAUGAACAGUAUUGUCAUUGUGUAUUAGUUUUAAAUGUAUACUUUUGUUACAUUUAUAAUUGUGUGCUCUUUGACUCUGUAUAUUUGUGCAAUUUGCUGGGAUGAAAAAUGUUUAACUGUUACUAUAGUGUUGAUAUGAUGAUGCAGGCUACUCUUUAUUUUGGACCAUUUAUUUUGAGUGUUGAGUUCACAGAGCAUCUGUUUAAUGGGUUCCAGUAUAGAGGAACUGCUGAGUUCAACUAGCUCACUGAAGGCAGUUUAAGUCCAUAUAAAGUCAAUGAUGACUGUCUAGAGAAGACACAGUUAGUUGGAGAGACAGUGUUCUGAUACAAGACAGGAAGUUGGUGCAGGAAGUCUACAUGAUGGCAGAAUGGUGUUAACGUCUACUAGUCACUGUUUCUCUUGAUCUUUUGUGCAGUAACCAGAAUAACAAUAUCAUCUAUUUUCAGUUUAUAUCUAUUUAGAAGUUAUCGUGUCAGUUUUAUUUUCAGUGUUAAACAGAAUCAAUUGAGGCUGAAUUUAAGAUUUUUUUAAAUGGUUUGCACUGUAAUAAAGACCUUUACAUUCAAUUUCCAUGAAAAUAUUUUGGCUGUUAUCGGUCCAACAUUUUACAUAUCUCAUUAAAAUUGAUUGAAUUGAGAUUUUGUGUCACUGGCCACAUACUAAACCCCAUAAUGUGGAAUCUUGUUUUUUGACCAUAAGUCUAAAAAGCAAGAAGUAUUUAACCCCUUUCUUAUGGAAAGCCUAAAUAAAUUCAGGAGUAAAGAUUUUCUUAACAUGUCACAUAAUAAGUUGCAUGGACUCUGUGUGCAAUAGUGUUUAACAUGAUUGAUUUUUUAAAUUAUUUUAUUUAACCUUUAUUUAACCAGGAAGGGCUCAUUGAGAUUAAUAUUUAUUUUUCAAGAGUGCCCUGGCCAAGAUAGGCAGCACCAAGUCAUUACAAAAAAUUAGACAGACAACAUGAAAAACUACAAGUAAUCUAGUAAAAACCAUUGAAUUCACAAGGGUAUAAAACAGUAAAUUAAAAACAUUGACAGGUCAGGGAAUCAGCCUCAAAAUCCUUCAUCAGUGAUUUAAAAACACAAGUUUGUCCAGUUUAAAAGUAUUUUGUAAGGUGUUCCAAAACGAUGGUGCAGAGUACAUAAAAGCCCAAAUUCAGUUUGGAACAGUUGGCAGGAUAAAGUCCAGCGAACGAAGAGAGUACCCACCACAUUUCUGAACAAUAAAAAUGCACAAAAAAAAUGUAGUUAACCCAAAAUGGCUUUGUAAAUAAAAAAUAUACCAGUGACUGAGCCUACGAAUGACUAGAGAAGGCCAGCCAAACCUGGUACACAAAGUGCAGUGGUGUGUAAGGGUUUUGCAGUUUAAAAUAAAUCUCAAAGUGCCAUGGUACUUGAUCUCAAUUGAUCUCAAACACUGAGUGGAAGCAUUCAUAUAUAAAAUAUCCCCAUAGUCUAGUAAAGGCAUAAAUGUAGCUGACACUAGCCUCCUUCUGGCUUCAAUAGAAAAACAGGCCUUAUUCCUAAAAUAAAAUCACAAUUUCAGCUUCAAAUGAUUUUGUUAGUUGUUUAAUAUGCAAUUUAAAAGAGGCCGUCAUAUAUUAAAAUUCCAAGAUAUUUAUAUGAGGUUACAACCUCAAUCUCCUUGCCCUGACAGGAAGUAAUAGGUGAAAGGUUCAGAGGCCUAUUUCUUGCAUUAGAAAACACCAUUAGUUUAGUUUUGUCAGUAUUUAGGAUAAGCUUCAAUUGACACAAGGUAUGUUGAACAGUAUAAAAAGCAGUUUGCAUGUUCUGGAAAGCUUUUGUAAGAGAUGAGGCACAACAGUAAAUAACAGUAUCAUCAGCAUGAAAAUGAAGUUGUGCAUUUUGGACAUUUUUGUCUAAAUCAUUUAUAUAAAUAGUGAAUAAGAGAGGACCAAGUACAGAGUCUUGGGGCACACCAUUCAAGACAGACAAUUUUACAGACAUAAGCCCAUCAAAUUGAGUGCACUGAGUUCUAUCAGACAGAUAGCAAACCAUGCAACUGCAUGCUCCUAAAGACCUACACUCGACAAUCUCUGCCUUAGUAUAGCAUGAGCAACUGUAUCAAAAGCCUUAGAAAG